rnacentral:tRNA from 1 species
GUGGGUGUAGCUCAGGGGCAGAGCACUAGACUGUGGCUCUAGGAGCCGGGGGUUCGAAUCCCCUCACCCACC